rfam:Ictidomys tridecemlineatus contig085371, whole genome shotgun sequence.
GGAGUUAUAGCUCAGUGGUAGAGUGCUUGCCUAACAUGUGUGAGGCCCUGAGUUUGAAUCUCAGCACCA